GGCCCGGUGGUCAAGAGGUUAAGACACGGCCCUUUCACGGCUGUAACCCGGGUUCGAUUCCCGGUCGGGUCA
rnacentral:tRNA from 1 species